CAGGCCGGUCUUCUGACUUGGCGUCAUCCGUCUGCCGCAGCCUUCCCGGCCAAAGCCAGUGGCAUGAUGAAGCGGCGGGCGUCGGCCUUACAGCGUUGGGCACGUUCCGGUCUUGCACCGGAUUCCCGAUUCUCCCGCGUGAAAG
rnacentral:sRNA from 7 species